UAAUAAUCCAAUUCAAGAUUUAAUGCUCAUUCAAGUAUGAUUUUUUAAGGAAACAAUUACAUAAAAUUAUUUUAAAAACUGAGAAUCAAUUCAGAAUCGUAUCAAACCAAAUCGGAUUUGAAAAAUUGAGAAUCGUACCGAAUUGAAACUGAAAUGGAACUAAAUUAAAAUUUUGGUUCGAUUUCAGUUCCUAGGCAGACCCAAACUAAGCCAGAAUGCACACCCUUAGUAGGAUUAAUAUUAAGAAACCGAUCUGGCAUGUCUUCUUUAUUCUUUGAAGUACCCAUUAAACUAUCAUGAAAAGAUCAAUGGAAUUUGUUUAGGUGAAUCCAUCAUUUGAGCCGGUAUGCCACAGUCUGUACUUUCAUCGUUAAGGUGUAACUGUGAAUCAUUUUUCAUUCAUCCUUUGUCUCAAUGUCCAGCAGUGGUAGUUCAUUGUUUAUCAAGUUCAUUUGUCUAGAAAAUUCUCAUUCCAUCUGAUUUUAACGGUUGGUCUGAUGCAGGAGCACUGGAUUCCUUGAUAUGGA
rnacentral:misc_RNA from 1 species